rnacentral:rRNA from 1 species
GACGAACGCUGGCGGCGUGCUUAACACAUGCAAGUCGAACGGAAAGGCCCUGCUUGCAGGGUACUCGAGUGGCGAACGGGUGAGUAACACGUGGGUGAUCUGCCCUGCACUUCGGGAUAAGCCUGGGAAACUGGGUCUAAUACCGGAUAGGAGCCAUAUUUAGUGUGAUGGUUGGAAAGUUUUUUCGGUGUAGGAUGAGCUCGCGGCCUAUCAGCUUGUUGGUGGGGUAAUGGGCUACCAAGGCGGCGACGGGUAGCCGGCCUGAGAGGGUGGACGGCCACAUUGGGACUGAGAGACGGCCCAGACUCCUACGGGAGGCAGCAGUGGGGAAGAUUGCACAAUGGGCGCAAGCCGGAUGAAGCGAGGCCGCGUGGGGGAUGACGGUCUUCGGGUUGUAAACUCCUUUCGCUAGGGACGAAGCUUGUUGUGACGGUACCUAGAUAAGAAGCACCGGCUAACUACGUG